GGGUCGUUAGCUCAGUUGGUAAAGCAGUUGACUUUUAAUCAAUUGGUCGCAGGUUCGAAUCCUGCACGACCCACCA
rnacentral:tRNA from 5 species